rnacentral:rRNA from 1 species
CACGUAGGGUGCGAGCGUUGUCCGGAAUUAUUGGGCGUAAAGAGCUCGUAGGCGGUGUGUCGCGUCGGCCGUGAAAACUUGGGGCUUAACUCUGAACGUGCGGUCGAUACGGGCAUCACUUGAGUUCGGCAGGGGAGACUGGAAUUCCUGGUGUAGCGGUGAAAUGCGCAGAUAUCAGGAGGAACACCGGUGGCGAAGGCGGGUCUCUGGGCCGAUACUGACGCUGAGGAGCGAAAGCGUGGGGAGCGAACAGG